GUCUACGGCCAUACUACCUUGAAUGCACCCAAUCUCGUCUGAUCUCGGAAGCUAAGCAGGGUCGGGCCUGGUUAGUACUUGGAUGGGAGAAGACCAAGAUGACAGGUA
rnacentral:rRNA from 1 species